UGGGGAAUAUUGCACAAUGGGCGAAAGCCUGAUGCAGCAACGCCGCGUGAGUGAUGAAGGUCUUCGGAUUGUAAAGCUCUGUCUUUUGGGACGAUAAUGACGGUACCAAAGGAGGAAGCCACGGCUAACUACGUGCCAGCAGCCGCGGUAAUACGUAGGUGGCGAGCGUUGUCCGGAUUUACUGGGCGUAAAGGGUGCGUAGGCGGAUGUUUAAGUGAGAUGUGAAAUACCCGGGCUUAACUUGGGUGCUGCAUUUCAAACUGGAUAUCUAGAGUGCAGGAGAGGAGAAUGGAAUUCCUAGUGUAGCGGUGAAAUGCGUAGAGAUUAGGAAGAACAUCAGUGGCGAAGGCGAUUCUCUGGACUGUAACUGACGCUGAGGCACGAAAGCGUGGGUAGCAAACAGGAUUAGAUACCCUGGUAGUCCACGCCGUAAACGAUGAGUACUAGGUGUAGGAGGUAUCGACCCCUUCUGUGCCGCAGUAAACAC
rnacentral:rRNA from 1 species